rnacentral:rRNA from 1 species
UACAGAGGUCUCAAGCGUUGUUCGGAAUCACUGGGCGUAAAGCGUGCGUGGGCUGUUUCGUAAGUCGUGUGUGAAAGGCGCGGGCUCAACCCGCGGACGGCACAUGAUACUGCGAGACUAGAGUAAUGGAGGGGGAACCGGAAUUCUCAGUGUAGCAGUGAAAUGCGUAGAUAUCGAGAGGAACACUCGUGGCGAAGGCGGGUUCCUGGACAUUAACUGACGCUGAGGCACGAAGGCCAGGGGAGCGAAAGGG